rnacentral:rRNA from 1 species
AGUGAACGCUGGCGGUAGGCCUAACACAUGCAAGUCGAACGGCAGCACAGUAAGAGCUUGCUCUUACGGGUGGCGAGUGGCGGACGGGUGAGGAAUACAUCGGAAUCUACUUUUUCGUGGGGGAUAACGUAGGGAAACUUACGCUAAUACCGCAUACGACCUACGGGUGAAAGCAGGGGAUCUUCGGACCUUGCGCGAUUGAAUGAGCCGAUGUCGGAUUAGCUAGUUGGCGGGGUAAUGGCCCACCAAGUGGACGAUCCGUAGCCCGUGUGAGAGGAUGGUCGGCGGCCUUGGAAGGGAACCAGGGUCCAUGCUCCUGCGGGAGGCACCAGUGGGGAAUGUGGGACAAUGGGCGCAAGCCUGGUCCAGCCAGAGCGAGUGGGUUAAGGAAGCCUUCGGGGUGUGAAGCCCUUUUGUUGGGAAAGAAAAGCAGCAGGUUAAUACCCCGCUGUUCUGACGGUACCCAAAGAAUAAGCACCGGCUAACUUCGUG